UACAUGACGAGGAAUGGGGCCUCCUGCCAAUAACUAGCUCGCCAUGUGCAUAAGCCACCAUGGAAGUGCAUCCUCGGCCUCUGCCAAGCUUUCAGACACAACCCUGGCCAACAUCUUAUCUGCAACUUCCUAAGAGGCUCUGAGCCAGAGGCACCCAGCUAAGCCACUUCCAGAUUCCUGACUCUCAGAAACUGGGAGGGGUGGCUUGACUGAUAGGAAUAUUUUUCGAGCUCCUUGUAUACGUUGCCGAAAAGAUUAUACCAGUUACUCUCCAUCCAGCACUCACUGACCCCACAUCAUUUCUGGUGGCCCGUACAGGGACUUACUUCAUCGGCUUGUGAGCUCGAGUUCUGGAACUACUAUCUAGCCUAUCAUUAAUUCCUAAGACUGAAGAAAAAAAAAAAGAGGAGGGGAGAGGAAAAACGGCCAUAAGCGUGCCCUUGCAGAAAGUCUAGCAUCUUGAGUGUCUUCUCCGCAAAUAUUGGUAAAAGAAACCAAAACAAUAGCUGUACAGUCUCUGUGUACGUGUGUCUAUGUGUACAUUAUAUGUGUGAUAUUUUACCUCCGGUUGGUAUUGCCAAAAUUAAGAGCUCUGUUCAAUUGGCUUAAAGUAAGCG
rnacentral:lncRNA from 1 species